rfam:Gossypium raimondii Chr13_contig_953, whole genome shotgun sequence.
CAUCCCGAUGAUGAUGUAUAUGGAUUGUUAAAAGUAGUGUCUGAUAUAUUUACAAUGGUUGGAUGAUAGAUAAAUACAUACUGAGGGAUG